CCAGAGAGUGAGAAACCCUAGGCGUGCUAUGCGCCGCAUCGCACCCAAACUCUCUCGCCGCCUACCUCAGGCCUCAGUCAGACGGCGCUCCGGCUGCCCCCCCCCCCUGGCCGGCCUACUCCGCUCCUCCGCCGGCCACCAAGUUCUCCUGCUGGGACUGGGGACCCUACUAAACCCGACGAGCCGUAAGAGCUCGCCGCCGCCGCCUCGGAUCGCCUCCGCCGCCUCGGAUCGCCUCCGCUCGGUAAUGACAGGACAUAAUUGACAAGAUAUCAGAGAAGAUGGAAAAUCAGGCGGUCUUGCUACCUCAAGACAUGCUUGCAGACGUCCUACGCCGUCUUGCACCACGUGACCUUGCCAUAUCUCGUUGCGUCAGCAAGGCCUGGUGCACCAUCAUCGAUGCUCGCCACCUACUUCCAGCUGACCUCCUUCCACACUGGGUAGGCGGUAUAAUCAUCAAUUUCAACGGCUUAAUGUUGUCAGAAUUCUUCUCUCGCCCAUCGACAGGCCCCUCGGUGUCUGGCCACCUCAACUACUUACCUUCCACAUCUCUCGUCAAGGACCAUUGCAAUGGCCUUCUUUUGCUUGAUGGCUACGUGGUUAACCCCGCUACACGACAGUGGGCGGAGUUGCCACCGUGCCCAUCUUUGGGGCUGGAGUUUUUCGAUGGAGAGCACCUUGUGUUUGACCCAACCAUAUCACCGCACUAUGAGGUGUUGGCAAUCCCCAUUUGCCCCAUGUCAGACCCUGAUGUCAAAUUGGAUCCCGCUCUUGAGGAAUUAGAAUGGCCACCGUCAUUAUGCAUAAUACAUGUGUUCUCAUCAAGGACAAAACAAUGGGAGGAGAGGCCCCUUGUUCGGGAAGGGGAGUCUGCUGGGACAAUUGCAGACAUCUGAUCGGCUCGUCAAUAUUAUCAGAACCGUGCUGUCUACUGGCGAGGAUCUCUUUAUGUUCAUUUGCCAAACCAGUUUGUUAUGAGGAUAUCAUUGUCAGACAACAAGUAUCAAGUAAUUAAACCACCGCAAGGGAGAAGCCCUCUAUUUGGGGCAAAAGAGCUUUAUAUAGGUAAGUCAAAGAAGGGGGUUUAUUGUGCAGCUGUGCAUAACCUGGUCCGGGUAUGGAUCCUUGAUGAAUCCUGUGGGCAGUUGGUAUGGGUGUUGAGGCAUAACAUUUCCCUUCACGUUGACUCUGAUGAAAGCAGCAGACCCUGGACAUUACAGGAUGUUAACUAUUAUGAAGAGUGUGGUGAGGAUGCUAAAGAUGAAGCAAUUGUGCCGCAGAAAUUUGACUGGGAUUCUGACAGUGAUAAUCUUAUUGACCCCAAAAGCAUGGCUGAUGACGAGUCUCCUCGUUAUACUGGUAUACUUGGAUUUCAUCCUUUCAAAGAGGUUGUCUUCCUGUGUGUCGUAUUGAAGAGAGGGCUGGCAUAUCAUUUGGAUGGUUCGAAGGUUCAAGAGUUGGGAAACAUAUUUCCCAAAUGUUAUGGCCCAUCGCAUGGUAUCCACCCGUUUAUAGAAGAGUCAUUCAUAUACACUCCUUGCUGGAUGGAGUUACCAUAGAGCAAUCAAUUUUACUCAUCUUCUCUUGUGAUGAGCACAGCGUAUCUGAAUAAGAGAUCUAAUAGUCAACUUAUCUCAAUUGAGUUUCUUUUGGUCUGUUGUAUGUAUGUCAACAUUGACUGGUCAUAUCUAAGCCUCAUUGCUGAAUGUUUUUUGUGUUUCGAGUAACAUUAAUUAAUGUUUGUGUAUGUCCCAAGUUGCUGAACUAAUGGAAGCAUGCCAUAUAUAUUGUGUGUA